GCCUGAGUAGCUCAGUUGGUUAAGCAUCUGACUUCAGCUCAGGUCAUGAUCUCGCGGUUUGUGGAUUCGAGCCCCACGUUAGGCA
rnacentral:tRNA from 1 species